rnacentral:rRNA from 1 species
AGCAGUCGCCGCGGGAAUACAGAGGGUGCGAGCGUUAAUCGGAUUUACUGGGCGUAAAGCGUGCGUAGGCGGCUAAUUGAGUCGGAUGUGAAAUCCCCGAGCUUAACUUGGGAAUUGCAUUCGAUACUGGUUAGCUAGAGUGUGGGAGAGGAUGGUAGAAUUCCAGGUGUAGCGGUGAAAUGCGUAGAGAUCUGGAGGAAUACCGAUGGCGAAGGCAGCCAUCUGGCCUAACACUGACGCUGAGGUACGAAAGCAUGGGGAGCAAACAGGAUUAGAGACCCCCGUAGUCCCUGUCUCUUAUAC